rnacentral:tRNA from 1 species
UUGUUAUUUUGGCAGAUUAGUGCAAUGAAUUUAGAAUUCAAAAAUAUAAUUUUUAUUAUAAAUA